rnacentral:rRNA from 1 species
UACGAAGGGGGCUAGCGUUGUUCGGAUUUACUGGGCGUAAAGCGCACGUAGGCGGAUCGUUAAGUCGGGGGUGAAAUCCUGGAGCUCAACUCCAGAACUGCCUUCGAUACUGGCGAUCUUGUGUCCGGAAGAGGUGAGUGGAACUCCUAGUGUAGAGGUGGAAUUCGUAGAUAUUAGGAAGAACACCAGUGGCGAAGGCGGCUCACUGGCCCGGUACUGACGCUGAGGCGCGAAAGCGUGGGGAGCAAACAGG